AAAAGGAGGAAUCCGCCCAAGGAGGGGCUCGCGUCUGAUUAGUUAGUUGGUGAGGCAAUGGCUUACCAAGGCGACGAUCAGUAGCUGGUCCGAGAGGAUGAUCAGCCACACUGGGACUGAGACACGGCCCAGACUCCUACGGGAGGCAGCAGUGGGGAAUUUUCCGCAAUGGGCGAAAGCCUGACGGAGCAAUGCCGCGUGAAGGCAGAAGGCCCACGGGUCAUGAACUUCUUUUCUCGGAGAA
rnacentral:rRNA from 1 species